rnacentral:rRNA from 1 species
AUUGAACGCUGGCGGCAUGCCUUACACAUGCAAGUCGAACGGUAACAGGUCUUCGGAUGCUGACGAGUGGCGAACGGGUGAGUAAUACAUCGGAACGUGCCCAGUAGUGGGGGAUAACUACUCGAAAGAGUGGCUAAUACCGCAUGAGAUCUACGGAUGAAAGCAGGGGAUCGCAAGACCUUGUGCUACUAGAGCGGCCGAUGGCAGAUUAGGUAGUUGGUGGGAUAAAAGCUUACCAAGCCGACGAUCUGUAGCUGGUCUGAGAGGACGAUCAGCCACACUGGGACUGAGACACGGCCCAGACUCCUACGGGAGGCAGCAGUGGGGAAUUUUGGACAAUGGGCGAAAGCCUGAUCCAGCAAUGCCGCGUGCAGGAUGAAGGCCUUCGGGUUGUAAACUGCUUUUGUACGGAGCGAAAAGGUCUCCUCUAAUACAGGGGGCUCAUGACGGUACCGUAAGAAUAAGCACCGGCUAACUACGUGCCAGCCGCCGCGGUAA